AGCUCCAAUAGCGUAUAUUAAAGUUGUUGUGGUUAAAAAGCUCGUAGUUGGAUCUCAACAGCCCUGGAUCGGUGUACUUUGUGUACUACUGAUCUAUGAGUUGUGCUUUUGCUGGAGGUUUAGGGGUGCUCUUAAUCGAGUGUCUCUGGAUGCCAGCAGGUUUACUUUGAAAAAAUUAGAGUGUUCAAAGCAGGCUGUUAUGCCUGAAUAUUCGUGCAUGGAAUAAUAGAAUAGGAUGUCGAUCUUAUUUUGUUGGUUUUCGAGACUCGACAUAAUGAUUAAUAGGGACAGUCGGGGGCAUUUGUAUUCAAACGCUAGAGGUGAAAUUCUUGGACCGUUUGAAGACAAACUACUGCGAAAGCAUUUGCCAAGAAUGUUUUCA
rnacentral:rRNA from 1 species